rnacentral:rRNA from 1 species
UACGUAGGGGGCAAGCGUUGUUCGGAUUUAUUGGGCGUAAAGAGCGUGUAGGCGGCCAUUCAGGUCAGCUGUGAAAACUCGAGGCUCAACCUCGAGACGUCGGUUGAAACCGUAUGGCUAGAGUCCGGAAGAGGAGAGUGGAAUUCCCGGUGUAGCGGUGAAAUGCGCAGAUAUCGGGAAGAACACCCGUGGCGAAGGCGGCUCUCUGGGACGGUACUGACGCUGAGACGCGAAAGCGUGGGGAGCGAACAGG